GACGAACGCUGGCGGCGUGCUUAACACAUGCAAGUCGAGCGGUAAGGCCCUUUCGGGGGUACGACGAGCGGCGAACGGGUGAGUAACACGUGGGUGACCCGCCCUCAGCUCUGGGAUAAGCCUGGGAAACCGGGUCUAAUACUGGAUAUGACUCCAUGACGCAUGUUGUGGGGUGGAAAGCCUUGUGCGGCUGAGGAUGGGCCCGCGGCCUAUCAGCUUGUUGGUGGGGUGAUGGCCUACCAAGGCGACGACGGGUAGCCGGCCUGAGAGGGCGACCGGCCACACUGGGACUGAGACACGGCCCAGACUCCUACGGGAGGCAGCAGUGGGGAAUCUUGCGCAAUGGGCGAAAGCCUGACGCAGCGACGCCGCGUGAGGGAUGACGGCCU
rnacentral:rRNA from 1 species